rnacentral:rRNA from 1 species
UUAUGAGUUUUAUCCUGGCUCAGAAUGAACGCUAAUAGUAUGCUUAACACAUGCAAGUUGAACGGAAUUUUUUCCGUAGCGAACGGGUGAGGAGUGUGCAGAAUGCUACCUUUUAGUUUAGGACAAUUAAUGAUUUUAAUAAUCAUUUAAAUACUAAAUACACAGAAAAGUUAUAUUUUAAAAAUAUAUUCUGCUAAAAGAUGGGUCUGUGCAAGAUUAGGUAGUUGGUAAUUUUAACAGCUUACCAAGCCUUCGAUCUUUAGUUGGUCUUAGAGGAUGAUCAACCACACUGGAACUGAAAUAAGGUCCAGGCUGAUUUUUCGGCCAGCAGUGAGGAAUAUUGGACAAUGAACGAAAGUUUGAUCCAGCAAUACUAUAUGAAUGAAGACGGCUUUUUAGUUGUAAAAUUCUUUCGUUAAGAAUGAUAAUGACAUUACUUAAAAAAUGUUUAGUCCCGGCUAAUACUCGUGCCAGCAGCCGCGGUAAUACGGGAGGGGCAAGCGUUAUUCGCCAUGAUUGGGCGUAAAGAGUCCGUAGACGGUAAAGUAAGUUACUAGUUAAAAUUUAAAGCCUAACUUUAAAUCAGCUUUUAAUACUGCUUUACUUGAGUUUUAUAUGGAAGAGUAGAAUUUUAUAUGAAAGGGUAAAAUCUAAAUAUAUAUAAAGGAAUACCAGUAGCGAAGGCGACUCUUUGAUAAAAACUGACGUUAAGGGACGAAAGUAUGGGGAGCAAACAGGAUUAGAUACCCUGGUAGUCCAUACUGUAAAUUCUGAGUGCUGUAAUUUAAUGUAAGUUAAACUUAUUUAGAUUUUUAAGCUAACGCCAUAAGCACUCCGCCUGAGGAGUACGAUCGCAAGGUUGGAACUCAAAGGAAUUGACGGGGGCUAGUACUAGUGGUGGAGCAUGUGGUUUAAUGCGAUAAUCCGCGCAGAACCUUACCAAUUCUUGACAUUUUUAAACAAUUUUAAUAUACAAUUAGGUCAUAUUUUAAAGUGUUUUUAAACAGGUGUUGCACGGCUGUCGUCAGCUCGUGUCGUGAGAUGUUUGGUUGAUUCCCUUAACGGGCGAAACUCUUAUCUUUAAUUUAAGUUUUACUAAUUUUUGAUUAAUUUUUAUUAAUUUAUCUUAAAAAGCUUUAAAGAUACGGUCAAUGAUAAAUUGAAGGAAGAUGAGAACUAAGUCAAGUCAAUGUGACCCUGAUGAAUUGGGCUACACACGUGCUACAAUGAAAAUUACAAAAAGUAACAAAAAUGUGAUUUUUAGUUAAUCUACAAAAAUUUUCCCAGUUCGGAUUGUAAACUGCAAUUCGUUUACAUGAAGUUGGAAUCACUAGUAAUCGCAAAUCAGAACGUUGCGGUGAAUAUGUCAACUAGCCUUGUACACACCGCCCGUCACAUGCAGAAAGUUAGUUUUGCUUGAAGAUUUAACUUUGUUAAGUCCAUUGAAAAAUUAAUAAUUUGGAUGAAGUCGUAACAAGGUAGCUGUACGGGAACGUGUAGCUGGAAAAAAUGAUAC